rnacentral:rRNA from 1 species
UACGUAGGGGGCUAGCGUUGUCCGGAUUUAUUGGGCGUAAAGAGCGUGUAGACGGCCAGGUAGGUCUGCUGUGAAAACUCGAGGCUCAACCUCGAGACGUCGGCGGAAACCAUCUGGCUAGAGUCCGGAAGAGGAGAGUGGAAUUCCUGGUGUAGCGGUGAAAUGCGCAGAUAUCAGGAAGAACACCCGUGGCGAAGGCGGUUCUCUGGGACGGUACUGACGCUGAGACGCGAAAGCGUGGGGAGCGAACAGG